GGAUGACAGGAAUCCUGGUGUGAACGCCUUCAGUGGCAGGGAACGCGGGGUCUCCUCUGACUGUGAGCACCCACCCACCACCAGACAGGGCCUGCUUCAGGACUGGAAGGGUCCACGUCCACUGAUGGUUCUGCGCAGAGAAGGAAAGGGGAGUCAACCCCUCUGGGGCCUCUUCCAGCUCCAAGAUUCUGGAACAUGUCCCAGGUUGUCACAACAAAGGAUUCACAAAGGCUGUGCUGAAGCAUGCCCCGGGGUACACCAGGAGCGCUUUGAGGAGGGGCAGAGCAACCAUCACUGCCCAUGUCAGAACCAAGACACCAUGCACCAAGAGGAACCUCAGGUGCAGUGCGGGAACAUGAGACAUCUCCUUCCUAUAGUGAGGAUGUCUGUGCAUCUGCGGCUGAUAGGGUGUUACUCAUCAUCAUAUCUUAGAAGAACAGACCCGCCAAAACAUACAGUACAGAGUAUAGCUACGUUCCCCAAACUGGCCACAAAAAUAAUUUAUCAAAAUCCAAACUAGUUCCCUAUGGUGCCGCGUUUUCAGACCAACCCACAAUUCCACAAACAAAUGAUUUUGAAGACCCAAACAUUCACAUUCUUUGAGAAAUCUUGCAAUAUCGCUACAAACACUUUAAUCAGGGAGAGGCCACCACCCCACCAGAUUUAAGCUCCCCUAAAGCUGUUUGCUCCUUAGCAACCACGAGGCAUACCUCUCCAGGCUACUCUUUUGGAGUAUUUGCACAUUUCUACAAGGAUUAUCCCUGACUUAUAAAACCAUAGUUACCACCGUGCUCAUAAUCAUAACUUGUUAUUUUGACUCAACGUUCGAAAUAUUUGCAAUCUGUGAGAGUCAAGGUUUGUGGCCGAUGAGAUGGUCACUUGUUCCUGCUCUCAGAGUUGAGGGUGAAAGAGAUGCCCCAAUUCAGAGGCAAAUAAGGGCCAAAAGGGUGCCAAGUGUCAGUACUGGGUUUGAAGGCAUCGGGGAAGUCUUCAUGGGGGAGGUAACGGUGGAGAAUGGCCUCAGAAGCUGGGCCACUAGCUUUCGCCAGGCAGAGCUAGGGGACUGGGGCACAGGGCCCUCAGGCACAGGGUUGUGCGUCUGCUUGAGCUCAGGCCCGCUGCUGUGGUGAGGGGCCACACUGACGGGCCAUCGUAGAUCAGGCUGCCACAGAGUCAUCAGGGCUGGGAACCCUAAAAACUCAAUCUGGGACUUUAUCUGGUCACUAAGGGAUCGGUUGAGGUUUUGUAUAUGGAGCAAUGACAUAAUCCAAGCUGAAUGGCACAGGAUUCAUUUGGCCAUGCAGCAGAGGUGGCCCGAUAGCCAGAAAAACACGACAGGAGUCCAACAUAAUAAACGAUGUAUUAC
rnacentral:lncRNA from 1 species